rnacentral:rRNA from 1 species
UACAGAGGUCUCGAGCGUUAGGCGGAAUCACUGGGCUUAAAGCGUGUGUAGGCGGAUGCCUAAGUACCUUGUGAAAUCCCACGGCUUACCCGUGGAACUGCUUGGUAUACUGGGUGUCUUGAGCCACCUAGGGGCGAGCGGAACAGAUGGUGGAGCGGUGAAAUGCGUAGAUAUCAUCUGGAACGCCAAUGGUGAAAACAGCUCGCUGGGGGUGUGCUGACGCUGAGACACGAAAGCCAGGGGAGCAAACGGG